GAUGAACGCUGGCGGCGUGCCUAAUACAUGCAAGUCGAGCGAAUGGAUUAAGAGCUUGCUCUUAUGAAGUUAGCGGCGGACGGGUGAGUAACACGUGGGUAACCUGCCCAUAAGACUGGGAUAACUCCGGGAAACCGGGGCUAAUACCGGAUAACAUUUUGAACCGCAUGGUUCGAAAUUGAAAGGCGGCUUCGGCUGUCACUUAUGGAUGGACCCGCGUCGCAUUAGCUAGUUGGUGAGGUAACGGCUCACCAAGGCAACGAUGCGUAGCCGAACUGGGAGGGUGAUCGGCCACACUGGGACUGAGACACGGCCCAGACUCCUACGGGAGGCAGCAGUAGGGAAUCUUCCGCAAUGGACGAAAGUCUGACGGAGCAACGCCGCGUGAGUGAUGAAGGCUUUCGGGUCGUAAAACUCUGUUGUUAGGGAAGAACAAGUGCUAGUUGAAUAAGCUGGCACCUUGACGGUACCUAACCAGAAAGCCACGGCUAACUACGCGCCAGCAGCCGCGGUAA
rnacentral:rRNA from 1 species